CUGCUUUCUGUGGUAUGGAGUUUACAAGGUGACCCUGUGGGGGCUUUGGUUUCUGUUUCUUCCCACAAUGCACCUGGGCCUAGCCGUGUGAAUCACCCGGAUCUAUGGGAUGUUGGCAAACACAGCGCAAGCAUAGACUGGUCAAGUGUUUGCACAGUGGGGUUUGUCAUCUUGCAGAUCUUCCUCUUGGAAACUAAUCACCAUGCUGGAAGGCAGCUCAGCCCAGACUGCUAAAUGAGACAUCAUGUGGCAGGAGGCUGUGCAACAUGAGAGGUCAUUCGGACAUUCCAGCCCCAGCUGAUGACCCAGAUGAAUGAAGCCAUGUGAAUAACCUCGGAUCUACCAGGCAGGGAAGAACUGUCCAGCUCAGCCCCAUCAACCCACAAAUUGUUUCUUAAGCCACUGA